ensembl:lncRNA STXBP5-AS1 STXBP5 antisense RNA 1
AUUGCAUAAUGCAGUAGCCACUGGAUUUGCAGCAGAAACACUCUGCUACAGAACAAGUGUCUUGGUUCACAGCAAAGAGGACAAAGAAAACAGCAAGUUUUAGGGGGUUGAAUCCUGGAUUCCCCUGGCAAACACCAUUCUACUUUCCGUCUCUAUGAAUUUGACUACUCGAAGUACCUCAUGUGAAAUGUUGGUGCCAAAUGAACUUUUCUGGUUCUUCUGAAUAUGCCACUGUUGCUGGAGAAAUGUCACUGCUAGAGAACAGAAGACUAUUAUUCCAAAGGGUAUUUGAGACUGACUGAAUCAGGUCUGGAACAUUAUUGAAAUGAGACCCACAAAAGAAGAGAUACUGAGAGGAUGAAGAGAUCCUCCUAGCUUGGCGGAAUACUCUGCUCUGAUGGAAGUACCAUCCUGGUCCAAACAUGAAAGAAUUCCCAACAUCAAGAUUGAUUGAAACAUAUUCAAUGGUGUAACUGGAUCUUGGUUCAUGCUGAGCUUAAAAUUUGAUCUUCUGAAUAUCAGCAGAAAGACUCUUUCUGGUGAAUACAGAUCUUCUGAGCAAUUAUCGACUGACUUUGUCAUUAGACUGCCCUUUCAGAAGGUACAAAAAAAGAAAAAGAAAAUUACUACUGUGAAGUGAAGUCUGAGCAACUGGGAAGAAAUGCAAGGUGAAAUGAAAUGGUGAAGGUAAAUGAACGGGAAGAACCUGGGGAGAUGGUAACCACGUUAAUCAUAGUAAACUGGGAUGAAAAGACAGAGAAUAACACAAUAUAGAGACUUUUUUAAUUAUUAGAGGAAAAGAUAGGUCCAAUAGCAUGACUAGAGGCUUUGAAAAGUAAAGACAGCUCAAAAGGAACAAAAUUCUCAAAGCAUUGUAAUUGUACAAUCCUAGCUCACCUUCAUGAGAGGAAAGUUUAAGAAACAGGCAGCAGGAGGGGGCUUGCUGUCUAUUUUUAGAAAGAUUUUGGCCAAAAAAGGAAGUGUUAGCACAAAAAGAAGAGUCAAUUUUUACAGACACAUGAGGGGUAGUGUUUUCCAAAAAGACCGAAACGUGGCACAAUUGUAUUCACCUUUGUAACUCCAGCACCCACUAUAAGGGCAAGGCCCCCCAAAUGUCUUCCAUUGAUUUUGUCAUUUGGAGAAUUUGCUCCCAGGUUCAUAUGAGAAGGUACGGC